rnacentral:rRNA from 1 species
UUAAGCGACUAAGCGUACACGGUGGAUGCCCUGGCAGUCAGAGGCGAUGAAGGACGUGCUAAUCUGCGAUAAGCGUCGGUGAGGUGAUAUGAACCGUUAUAACCGGCGAUUUCCGAAUGGGGAAACCCAGUGUGUUUCGACACACUAUCAUUAACUGAAUCCAUAGGUUAAUGAGGCGAACCGGGGGAACUGAAACAUCUAAGUACCCCGAGGAAAAGAAAUCAACCGAGAUUCCCCCAGUAGCGGCGAGCGAACGGGGAGGAGCCCAGAGCCUGAAUCAGUGUGUGUGUUAGUGGAAGCGUCUGGAAAGGCGCGCGAUACAGGGUGACAGCCCCGUACACAAAAAUGCACAUAUUGUGAGCUCGAUGAGUAGGGCGGGACACGUGGUAUCCUGUCUGAAUAUGGGGGGACCAUCCUCCAAGGCUAAAUACUCCUGACUGACCGAUAGUGAACCAGUACCGUGAGGGAAAGGCGAAAAGAACCCCGGCGAGGGGAGUGAAAAAGAACCUGAAACCGUGUACGUACAAGCAGUGGGAGCCUCUUAAUGGGGUGACUGCGUACCUUUUGUAUAAUGGGUCAGCGACUUAUAUUCUGUAGCAAGGUUAACCGAAUAGGGGAGCCGAAGGGAAACCGAGUCUUAACUGGGCGUUAAGUUGCAGGGUAUAGACCCGAAACCCGGUGAUCUAGCCAUGGGCAGGUUGAAGGUUGGGUAACACUAACUGGAGGACCGAACCGACUAAUGUUGAAAAAUUAGCGGAUGACUUGUGGCUGGGGGUGAAAGGCCAAUCAAACCGGGAGAUAGCUGGUUCUCCCCGAAAGCUAUUUAGGUAGCGCCUCGUGAAUUCAUCUCCGGGGGUAGAGCACUGUUUCGGCAAGGGGGUCAUCCCGACUUACCAACCCGAUGCAAACUGCGAAUACCGGAGAAUGUUAUCACGGGAGACACACGGCGGGUGCUAACGUCCGUCGUGAAGAGGGAAACAACCCAGACCGCCAGCUAAGGUCCCAAAGUCAUGGUUAAGUGGGAAACGAUGUGGGAAGGCCCAGACAGCCAGGAUGUUGGCUUAGAAGCAGCCAUCAUUUAAAGAAAGCGUAAUAGCUCACUGGUCGAGUCGGCCUGCGCGGAAGAUGUAACGGGGCUAAACCAUGCACCGAAGCUGCGGCAGCGACACUAUGUGUUGUUGGGUAGGGGAGCGUUCUGUAAGCCUGUGAAGGUGGCCUGUGAGGGUUGCUGGAGGUAUCAGAAGUGCGAAUGCUGACAUAAGUAACGAUAAAGCGGGUGAAAAGCCCGCUCGCCGGAAGACCAAGGGUUCCUGUCCAACGUUAAUCGGGGCAGGGUGAGUCGACCCCUAAGGCGAGGCCGAAAGGCGUAGUCGAUGGGAAACAGGUUAAUAUUCCUGUACUUGGUGUUACUGCGAAGGGGGGACGGAGAAGGCUAUGUUGGCCGGGCGACGGUUGUCCCGGUUUAAGCGUGUAGGCUGGUUUUCCAGGCAAAUCCGGAAAAUCAAGGCUGAGGCGUGAUGACGAGGCACUACGGUGCUGAAGCGACAAAUGCCCUGCUUCCAGGAAAAGCCUCUAAGCAUCAGGUAACAUCAAAUCGUACCCCAAACCGACACAGGUGGUCAGGUAGAGAAUACCAAGGCGCUUGAGAGAACUCGGGUGAAGGAACUAGGCAAAAUGGUGCCGUAACUUCGGGAGAAGGCACGCUGAUAUGUAGGUGAAGCGACUUGCUCGUGGAGCUGAAAUCAGUCGAAGAUACCAGCUGGCUGCAACUGUUUAUUAAAAACACAGCACUGUGCAAACACGAAAGUGGACGUAUACGGUGUGACGCCUGCCCGGUGCCGGAAGGUUAAUUGAUGGGGUUAGCGGUAACGCGAAGCUCUUGAUCGAAGCCCCGGUAAACGGCGGCCGUAACUAUAACGGUCCUAAGGUAGCGAAAUUCCUUGUCGGG